GCCGAAGUGGCGGAACUGGUAUACGCGUAGGCCUCAGAAGCUUAUCCCCGUAAGGGGGUGGAGGUUCGAUCCCUCUCUUCGGCA
rnacentral:tRNA from 1 species